rnacentral:rRNA from 1 species
GAAACGACUGCUAAGACUGGAUAGGAGACAAGAAGGCAUCUUCUUGUUUUUAAAAGACCUAGCAAUAGGUAUGCUUAGGUAGGAGCUUGCGUCACAUUAGUUAGUUGGUGGGGUAAAGGCCUACCAAGACUAUGAUGUGUAGCCGGGCUGAGAGGUUGAACGGCCACAUUGGGACUGAGACGCGGCCCAAACUCCUACGGGAGGCAGCAGUAGGGAAUUUUCGGCAAUGGAGGAAACUCUGACCGAGCAACGCCGCGUGAACGAUGAAGUAUUUCGGUACGUAAAGUUCUUUUAUUAGGGAAGAAUAAAUGAUGGAAAAAUCAUUCUGACGGUACCUAAUGAAUAAGCCCCGGCUAACUAUGUGCCAGCAGCCGCGGUAAUACAUAGGGGGCAAGCGUUAUCCGGAAUUAUUGGGCGUAAAGGGUGCGUAGGCGGUUAAAUAAGUUUGUGGUCUAAGUGCAAUGCUCAACAUUGUGAUGCCAUAAAAACUGUUUAGCUAGAGUAAGAUAGAGGCAAGUGGAAUUCCAUGUGUAGUGGUAAAAUGCGUAAAUAUAUGGAGGAACACCAGUAGCGAAGGCGGCUUGCUGGGUCUUUACUGACGCUGAGGCACGAAAGCGUGGGGAGCAAACAGGAUUAGAUACCCUGGUAGUCCACGCCGUAAACGAUGAGUACUAAACGUUGGGUAAAACCAGUGUUGAAGUUAACACAUUAAGUACUCCGCCUGAGUAGUACGUACGCAAGUAUGAAACUUAAAGGAAUUGACGGGACUCCGCACAAGCGGUGGAUCAUGUUGUUUAAUUCGAAGGUACCCGAAAAACCUCACCAGGUCUUGACAUGCUUCUGCAAAGCUGUAGAAACACAGUGGAGGUUAUCAGUUGCACAGGUGGUGCAUGGUUGUCGUCAGCUCGUGUCGUGAGAUGUUGGGUUAAGUCCCGCAACGAGCGCAACCCUUAUUGUUAGUUACCAGCACGUAAUGGUGGGGACUUUAGCAAGACUGCCAGUGAUAAAUUGGAGGAAGGUGGGGACGACGUCAAAUCAUCAUGCCCCUUAUGACCUGGGCUACAAACGUGAUACAAUGGCUGUUACAAAGGGUAGCUGAAGCGCAAGUUUUUGGCGAAUCUCAAAAAAACAGUCUCAGUUCGGAUUGAAGUCUGCAACUCGACUUCAUGGAGUUGGAAUCGCUAGUAAUCGCGAAUCAGCAUGUCGCGGUGAAUACGUUCUCGGGGUUUGUACACACCG